ACGAGACACGUGAAACCUUGUGGGAAGCAGGGAGGACCACCUCCCAAGGCUAAAUACUACCUGAUGACCGAUAGUGAAGCAGUACCGUGAGGGAAAGGUGAAAAGAACCCCGGGAGGGGAGUGAAAUAGAACCUGAAACCGUGUGCCUACAACCGCUCAGAGCCCCUUAUGAGGGUGAUGAGGUGCUUUUUGUAGAACGAGCCAACGAGUUACGGUAUGUAGCAAGGUUAAGUACUUAAGGUACGGAGCCGAAGGGAAACCGAGUCUGAAUAGGGCGACUAGUUGCAUGCCGUAGACCCGAAACCGGGUGACCUAUCCAUGGCCAGGUUGAAGCGAGGGUAAAACCUCGUGGAGGACCGAACCACGUUGCUGUUGAAAAAGCAUGGGAUGAGCUGUGGAUAGCGGAGAAAUUCCAAU
rnacentral:rRNA from 1 species